rnacentral:rRNA from 1 species
AGCGAACGCUGGCGGCAGGCUUAACACAUGCAAGUCGAGCGGGCGUAGCAAUACGUCAGCGGCAGACGGGUGAGUAACGCGUGGGAACGUACCUUUUGGUUCGGAACAACACAGGGAAACUUGUGCUAAUACCGGAUAAGCCCUUACGGGGAAAGAUUUAUCGCCGAAAGAUCGGCCCGCGUCUGAUUAGCUAGUUGGUGAGGUAACGGCUCACCAAGGCGACGAUCAGUAGCUGGUCUGAGAGGAUGAUCAGCCACAUUGGGACUGAGACACGGCCCAAACUCCUACGGGAGGCAGCAGUGGGGAAUAUUGGACAAUGGGCGCAAGCCUGAUCCAGCCAUGCCGCGUGAGUGAUGAAGGCCCUAGGGUUGUAAAGCUCUUUCAACGGUGAAGAUAAUGACGGUAACCGUAGAAGAAGCCCCGGCUAACUUCGUGCCAGCAG